AAAAUCUGCAUUUUUAAUAAGACUCCUAGAUGGUUUGCUCCAGCUUUUCCCGUUUUCUUCUUACUCAUCUCCUGGCUGGGUGUGGUAGCACACAUCUGUAAUCCCAGCAAUUUGGGAGGCUAAGGCAGGAGGAUUGCAAAUUCAAAGCCAGCCUCAGCAAUUUAGUGAGGCCCUCAGCAGUUUAUUGAAACCCUGUAUUUUAGUCAGCUAUUUUGCUGCUAUGACUAAAGGAUCUGACAAUUUUAGGGGAGGAAAAGUUUGAGGGACUCAUGGUUUCAGAGGUCUUAGUCCAUGGAAGGCCAGCUCCAAUCCUUGGGGCUUGGGGUGAGGCAGAACAUCAUGGUGGAAGAGUGUGACAGAGGGAAACAGCUUAGCUGAUGAUCAGGAACCAGAAAGAGGUCUCCACUUUGCCUAAAACAAAUAUGUACCCCAAAGCUACCACCCCAAUUCCCAACUCCUCCAACCACACCCUACCACUUCAAUUACCAUUCAGUUAAUCCCUAUCAGGGGAUUAAUUCACUGAUUGUUAUGGGGAGCCUCCUCAGAAAAUGCUUUUAAGUCUGAACUCAAACAAAAAAGAGCUUUUAUUUACCUGGCCAGGGACUGUCUCCUACCCGGAGAGACUGAUGUUCUGUGGGAGAACAGCAAUUUCCUGGCCUGUGUCUUGGGAAUUUAAGGACAAAAACCACAACUCAGUUGCUUUUCUCAGUGUCAUGCAAGGAAGAUAAAAAUAGCAGUUAGCUUAACCAUGUUUUGGGUCCGAACAAGUGUUAGACAACCUUAUCCUGAUUUCAGAUGAGCAGGGGCGAUAAUCUAUUUUAAUAAAGUCAUGUAGACCCAUGACUAUACUCAAACCCAGAAUGUAGCUCACCAUGACCAUCACCAUUUCCUGAGUUGGGUACAUUCUGUGGGGUACAAAGUACAGAAAAACAGUUUUUUAAAAGAAAACAGCUUUUGUUUUUGUUUCUCAGAAAUGGGUCAUGCAACAGUUUUUUUUUUGUUGUUUGUUUGUUUUGUUUUGUUUUUUUAAUAGAAGGCGGCAAAAUGGAGUCUUAGGCCUGUCUGUGACGGCUCUUGCUUUAUAUUUGCCUUAUCUUAUCAAAAUUUUAUUAUCUAUAAUCUAUAUUUUUUUUUUACUAAUUUUUAACCUUUAACUUAACAUCCUUACUGAUUUUAUUGAUUAGUUUACACCACAACAUUCCCCACUGGCUUUAUGAGACUAAAUCAAAUCAUUGAUUUAUUUAAGUUUAGUUUUAUCUAAGUUUACCAUGUCAUAUUUUCUAAGGACUAGCAGCUUGAUAGUCAUUCGAUCAGUGGCUGUCUUUUAGAAGCAGGCUCCCUGUCAUUUUUCUGGCCUCAAGAGUUUCUGAGUAGAGCUGUGUGCAGCGUGCAUGUCUGAAAGUGAAACAGAACAGAAAGUAAAAAUCAAGAGUACUGUUCAUUGUCGGUUUUCCAGGUGGAUCUUCUGUUGGAGCUGUCUUCUUGAUUUGGGAGUGAUGAAUCCAGUGUUGUUUUCUGGUGACUUUUACAGCAGUAGGGGUGUUAGGAUGACCGGAAAGGGCCCGUGCCAGCAAGGUUCUAAGGUAAAUGGAUGAUGGCUCUGCUGGAGUGGGUGAGUGAAGGUCUCUCCUGCAACUGGCUGUCAGGCUUUUUGUUAAAGCCUGAAUCUGGUGGGAGGCUUGCUGGAGAGCCUAUAAGGACUUAAGAAGUGAGUAGUUACUUAUUUUAGUUUUUUAUCUUUUAGCCUGGGUAAGUGCCAUUAGUUCUGCCUUUUGUGCAGAAGUUCCAUGUCCCAGAACUUGAGCCCAGAUAAUUUUAUUUAAAGUAACUACAGCCACCCCCAUAUACCUGAUUCCAUUUUGGAUGUAGCUGCUGCCAUCAGUAUAGGACUAGCGAGGGUGGUCUUAGAGCAAAGGGAAGAAGGAGGCUCAUCCAGACCGCACCAGUGCAAUUAGUAAGGGUGUCUUUUACGGUUUUAUUUAUCCUCUUUACUUGUCCUGAACUCUGGGGCCUAUAUAGACAAUGUAGGUCCCAUUUAAUCUCAACGGCCUUGGAUCAAUUUUGAGUUAUCUGAGCUAUGAAAGCAGGGCUGUUAUUGGACCCCAUGGCUAUUGGGAGGCCAAAUCAGAGAACUAUCUCCUGAAUAAGUUUCAUAACUAUAAUAGUUGCUGUCUCUGUCUUGGUAGGAAAUAUCUCAAUUUAUAUGGAAUAUGUGUCCCAUGAGUGCCAGUAAAUACUUAUAACCAUAUUGUCCAGGUUUUAUUUCAGUGAAGUCUAUCCCCCCCUCACCCACCGCCUGCAGUCUGGUUCCUGUAAAUUGGCUUACCUUUGGAUUGGGAUUUUUUUUUUUUUUUUUGAGCAUAAGUCUGGCACCUGAAAGAAACUUGUCUUGUUAACUGAGUUAUCUUAGGAAUGUAAAAAUCUUUUUGUAACAAUUUAGCCAUUUUAGUAUUACCCAUAUGGGUUCCUU
rnacentral:lncRNA from 1 species